UGUAAAACAGUUGCAUCGUCUGGUACA
rnacentral:sRNA from 1 species